rnacentral:lncRNA from 10 species
CCUACCUGUUUUCCAAAAACUAUCAGUGGAUCAUAUUUGCUAUGACAUUAAAUGUAACUGUGACUUGGCUUUUAAAGCCUUUCAAAAUCCAGCUCCACCAUGCCUUUCUGAAUUCACUCCCUAAAGCUCCAUAAUCCUGAGUAAAUUCUCAUUUCAAUUGGAAUCAUUUCCAUAAAUAUUCAUUGAGCACCUAGUUAAUCCCAGACACUGUGCUAUGUACUAGGAAUAAAUAAGAUAAAGUCCCUGCCCUAUAGGAGUUCAGGACAUAUCAGGAGAAUUAACACGAAUGUAGCUAUAAUAUAAUCAUAAUAAUAACAAUCAUUAACUUUAUUGAGCCCAUUCGUAUAGUCCAGGCACCGUUCUAAGCAUUUCAUAUCAAUGUCUUUAAUCCUCACAACAAACCUAUGAGGUGGUAUCAUCAGGAUAUGGGAAAUGGUGUCACAGAGACAAUCUUGCUCUAUUCCUUAUUUAUGUAUACCCCUACCUCCUGGAAAGGAAUCAGGACAGCUCACACUGGGAAAGGUUCAGAGCAUACAUACAAAAGCCUUGAGACUGGAAAGAUUAUUUGGAAGUUGGGCAGAAGAGCAGGUCACAAAUAGACGCGAAGCAAGGAGAAGAAAGAAAAAAUAUAUGAAUGCUGCCACACACAUCCAUGGUUUGUCAAUGCCCAGCCAUCCUUGGUGUGCAUUCUUAGUGAGUUUCUACUCCAAUUCUUCCUGAGUGAUUACAUUUUCAUCACAUUUCUGAAGGUUUUGCCACUUCU